ensembl:lncRNA
GUCUGGGACGGGAAGAGAGGACCUCUAAUCCGCGAGACUGGAUCAGAGAGGUUGAAAAAAUACUCAAGGCAGGACCAAAAGACCGCUGCCCGAGGACGAUCGCGAUUAAAAGGGAUAGAUCGGGAAGAUCUGGUCCCAGUGUGGAUGAGUUUACCGAAGGAUGCUGCGGAGAUUCUUUUAAAUGGAGGGAAAAGGCAAGUCAUCCUCAAGAAGACUUCGAGCGCCAUACCUUCCGCAAAGUCAUAGGACAGAUACGAAAACAGAACAGAGCGCUCGAAAAUAGGGAUACCGCUGCAAUAUACGUGUCUUUCUGUGUCUUUCUUCGCUGUGUUAACGUGUCUUCGCGAUACAGAAGAGGAACGCUAUUGUGCAUCGGUGUUAAGCCGCGAAGGAGGGCGUAUUUGCAUAGACAAGAGGAGUCGCAGCAUCUGAGCUGCAUGUGGAAACAUUCCUGUUCUUACACCAGGAUAGUCCGUGUUUAAGUACUGCGCGGGUUUUGUCCUCUUUUUUCGAUAUGCGACCUAGUAGCAUUUCACACGUGAUGCUUCCAUUGCUCAUUUCUUCAAAUACAUCAAGGACAAAGGACGCAGAGCGCCGAUUUAAAGAAUGCAUGAAGAAACCCGUGGACACGAAGCAAUUUUUUUUUUUUUUUUUGCUUUGAUUUAUAUUUUACCCCGAAGGAAAAUGGAAUUGAGGGCAAGAGUAAUUGCAUUGUAUCGACUUAUUUUUCCAUUGUGUAAGCUUAGACAUGGUGCACGUCAUUAAUCUGUCUUUAAACUGCAUUAACAACCGUAUCAGAUAUGGACAACACCACUGAAGACUAAAGUGGUGGAUGGAAAGGUGUUAAGUUCGCCUCGUAUGUUUAGCUCGCAUGCGAUUCCUUUGCCAAAGCAGUGUUGUAGUGAAAGUGUUCAAAUGUUCUAGCCUACCUCUCUCUCGUUCUCUCUCGGAAGCUCGGUUAGAUUACAUGUGCAAGUCAAGGCGCGAAAUUUGAGUGUCAAAUGAGGCUCGAGGGGUUUUGCUCAUGACCAUUGGGCUGCUGCUGCUGCAGUUCGUUCGUUCUCAGAGUUCUCGCUCUGCGUGUUCACAGCGGACCUUGAUUUAAUGUCCAUACAAUUAAGGCACGCGGUGAAUGCCAAGAGAAGAAUGUCUCUAGCAACCAGUUUUCUCUACAGUUAUAGCCAACUGCUCAACUCAGAAAUCAAGGCACUAAAGAGGGGAAAGCGUUCGCGUUCAGAACACCCUUCUGUGUGACCAAUAAAUCAAGUUUAUUAUUAUAACUUAUUAAUAAGAGAUUUAGAACGACCACCUACAGCAGUCUGUAGAAAAGUGAAUGGUUAGCCAGUAGUUUUGUUUUCCGAAAUAUCGAAUUUCCAAGCAAUUUAAGUAACAAACAUCUGAGGCCUGAUUGCGACUGCGUAGAUUAAUUGGAAAAUUGAUCCUAGUGCACAGAAAUUUUAAAGGGGGGGGGGGGGGUUAUUUGAGGCCACUGUCACUUUGUGUGGAUAGUUAAACCCUGCAUUCGACGAUGUUGGACACUGUAAAAAAACGCACAUGGUUUCGCGGCUGUAGAUAGUAUAAACCAUUUAUAUGCUCUCAUCCAAACAGAUUUGCUUCAGCUGCAAAGUGACGUGAAUGUAGAUUGAUGUUACUGUAUGAGGGCGCCAUCUAUUGGGCACAUUCUCAAUGUUGUCUUGUCAACACAACUGAGGAAUAAUAUGCUGUACUGAUAAUUACAUCAAGUCACAUUUUCCACACUGUACUCUGUUCAGUCUUAAAAUACUUAAAAGAAUACAGUUCUUAUUCAAAAGAAAAAAGAAACCGGUGAAUCAAAACUGUAUAUGAACAUAUCUCGAACAGGCCAUCUAAAAUUGUUCACGUAUUGGAUCUUUAAGAUGCUUUGGAAAUGGUCCUUUUGCCUCAACAUAACUGAAACCUAAUUUUGAAUUCAUACUCCAAAGCUCAAAAACGGUUAUCUAAUGUAAUAAUGGGCGAAUGGUAAAAUAUAAGAACAAAAAUGGCGCUGCAAUUACCUUCGACAAAACCUGUCAAUGGAGAAAACGUAGGCCUACACCUGUCAAUGCAACAUCUGGAAUGAUCAGCUAAAAACUACCUUUUAAAUGCAAAUCUGAAGCUACAUAGAUUUAUCAGAGUGAUUAAAAUGUCAGAAAUAAAUUAAGUUCUUGUUUUUGUUUCGUAGCUUACACCAAUCAAACGAUCAAAUGUCAUCACAUAAUGUUAUUUUUAACAGGGUUAGUUUAGAUAUAAACGAUGAAAGACUGAAAUAUCUAUUAUUCUUAUCAUGCAUCACCAACGAAACUUCACAUCAUUACAUCACAAAAUACUAAGUCAAAUUACAUUCAUUUUAAAUAAGGCGAUAUAUACUCCGUUAACAACAGCUGGACUAUGUGUGUAAAAUGCAACACUCUUAUGGCAAUUCUUAAAGAUUUUACGUUUUGUCGAAAUGGUGGCAAAUUAGUACGACCUCAUUUGUACGUUUUAACCAUUAAGGGUUGGGUUUAGGGCUGGACCUUCAUGCUUUUUUUUUUUUUUUAAUCGUACGAAUUAAUACGAAAUUUUUAACUCGUAAAAUCAAUUAACCCAAUUUCCAAUUAUUUACACAGCCGCAGGGCUAGGCCUAUUAUUUGAGGAUAAGGAAGAUUACAUAAUUUUGUCUUGUAAAGUCCAAGAUAUGCUAGAGAAAACUCACUAAAUAUCUAAUAGAUGUUUUGCACAAACCUCUACAUUGACAGAAAUAUUGGACAUAUACAGAUAAUAGAGCUCUACACAGGUAAGUAACAGCCUUCAGCUAAACAUCUCCUGUUAACAUUCUUAGCAUAUUGUGGUGUAAUUUCUAAAUAAACAUGGAUAAUUCCAAUUUGUUUGGUUGUCUGUUUUUUUUUUUUCCCUUCCCAAACAUCGUCAUCUAAAUCACUGCAUUGUUGCUGUGAUGUGGUUAAAAUACAAAGUACCAUGCUAAUGCACUGGGCAUUAAAUAAAGGUAGGCUAUUUUAUAGUCUUUUGUUUUGUCCAUUUUGCCUUUAUCAAAUCUGAUUAAUAUUAAUCUUAAAAGCUCAAGUGCGUCAAAAAGUGCGCCACUAACUUCACUAUAAAAGGAAUUGCAAAAAUAAUGACCGUUUCAAACUGGUGUCUUAAACACUCCCUCUGCCUUCGUUGGUCCCGCCCCAAACUCACACCAUUAUUUGAGCCUUGUCAGACUGGGCCGUGCUUCAAUGUAGAAACUAUGGAGCGAAGCAUCUUACUGGCUGAGUAUACAAUACAACUUUAAAAUGUACCGAGUAUAAAGUGUGGUUUUAAUUUUGGUAUGCUGUUAUUUAUAUUUUAUUUAAUUUGAAUGUAAUCAAUAAUUUACCAUACUUAAAUACAUAAAAUACAAAUGAACGAAUAAACAUUUCUUCCUGUUAUUUGGAAAAUCAGUCAAAGGCCUCGGGUAUCAAGCAUUCAAUUAACCAAUUAAUUACAUAAUUAAUCUGAACAAUUACUCUAUUAAACAUUCGCCAGUCAUGCAAAUUGAAACCAUUUCAAACGUUACGCAAAGAGACUGCUAAACAUAAAGAGAGAACGCUAAACUGAUCCAUCCGGAUACUGGUUAAAUAAAUAAACAAAUACAGUUAGCUUUCACACUUUUGGGGGGAAUCAGCCUACUUUUGGUUUAUACAUAUUAAGCUGAGGUAUGAAAAAUAUUUUAAUAUAAAAGAACACACAUCACCUUUAAGGAAAUGUGACAAGCUGCCAAAUGACGAGGCGAUAUUUGGGGCAUACAAUCAGGACCAUGGAGAGCUCCCGCUCCGAGUGUGCGCUCAGCACUUGCUCUUCUCUCGUUUAUUCGAACAGUUAAAAUUGACAAACAAUGAUAACAAGCCUGUAUUGACGUUGUCGUUUUAUUACAGUUACACACUAACCCAAGUUCGUUCAGUGGUGAAAGAAACAAAGGCACAUUAAUAAUAUUGCAGCCUAGCGGGGUAAAGCUCUUAAACUGACCGGCCUCUAUACUGUGGCGAAAUACGAUCCCGCUGAUCAAAGGAUACACACCACAGAUUCCUUUCAAAUACUCGUUACGAGCUCACAGCCCGCGAGAUUUACAGCUGACACAUAUAUCUAAGCAUUUUCUAAACAGCUUACCUAUCAGUUCAACUAAUCGCCUUUGGAUAAAACGCAACUGUUUCUCGCAAAUUUGCGGAUGUUAUCUUCCUGAAACUGCACUGUGCAUCUGGCUGCACACAAACACACUUUUCAUGUGUCUAAUACUUUAAAUUUGCAUAUCUAUAUCCAAAGUUGUCCAGUGUAAGAAUACUGGAGUAUGUUUUAUUGUUGGAGUAUGUAC